rnacentral:lncRNA from 1 species
UACUUUAAAAAUGUUUUUAUUGAAUAUUAAACAAUUACAAGUACUGUAAGUUAGACAUUUAGCCAAAGCACAAUUACAGGUUAAAUAUAAUCAUAAAGAUGUCUUAAAUAGAAACCCACCAUGCAGGCAGGUUGAGUUCCUUGACGCUCUCUUUUGGAAAGAAGAGGGUGAGGGGGAAGAAAAGGUCCUCCAAUCCAUGUGAGAGUGAAGUCUAGAAGAAUUUACAUGCUGUAAGCAAUUUCCUACAACCAAAUCAACUAAAUGUUUUUGAGAAACCUUGAUAUAAGUACCUUUUAGUCUGUAGGUAUCAAAGACAAUAGACAGGGUGAGCUUGAAACAAUGGAAGCAGAAGCAGGUAUUCUAUGCACAUGAAGAGUUUAAAUAUUCUGUGUCAUGAAUAGAAUGGUUAUAUAGUCAAGGUCGGCUUCUAGGUCUAGGCUAUCAGCCUCAAAGAUUUUGG